UCUCCGUUGGUGAACCAGCGGAGGGAUCAUUGCUGGAAGCGUCUCACGGCGCACCCAGAAACCCUAUGUGAACCUAUACCUCUCUGUUGCCUCGGCGCUGGCUGGGAGCUUCUAUAAACUCCCCCUCUGCGGAAGGGUGGCGGUCCUCACGGGCCACCCCCCAAGCCGAGGAGCAGGCCCGCCGGCGGCCCUUUAAACUCUUGUUUUAAACGUAUCUCUUCUGAGUACAAAUUAUAAAUGAAUCAAAACUUUCAACAACGGAUCUCUUGGUUCUGGCAUCGAUGAAGAACGCAGC
rnacentral:misc_RNA from 1 species